rnacentral:rRNA from 1 species
UACGGAGGGUGCAAGCGUUAGUCGGAAUUACUGGGCGUAAAGGGUGCGUAGGCGGGAAUAUAAGUCAGAUGUGAAAAACCAAGGCUCAACCUUGGCAGUGCAUCUGAAACUGUAUUUCUUGAGGAAUAGCGGAGAAAACGGAAUUCCACGUGUAGCGGUGAAAUGCGUAGAUAUGUGGAAGAACACCUGUGGCGAAAGCGGUUUUCUAGCUUAAACCUGACGCUGAGGCACGAAAGCAAGGGGAGCAAACAGG